rnacentral:sRNA from 1 species
UCCGGAACACAUACACACACCCUGCUCUGGGAUCCCUUGUGAGGCUGCCCUCAUGGAGUUCCCCCUGGCCCAGAUAUGUCCCCAAGGGAGUCACGAAGCCCCCAUCCCAACCUUCAGCACCUUCCAGAUCACAGACAUGACCCGCAGGAGCUGCCAGAACCUGGGCUACACUGCGGCAUCUCCCCAGGCCCCGGAGGCUGCCUCCAACACAGGGAAUGCUGAGAGGGCAGAGGAGGUGCCUGGAGAAGGAAGCCUGUUCCUGCAGGCCGAGACCCGGGCUUGGUUCCAGAAGACCCAGGCCCACUGGCUCCUGCAGCACGGGGCAGCCCCUGCCUGGUUCCAUGGCUUCAUCACCCGGAGGUGAGUCAUGGAGGAGGAAAUUGGCCCAGACAGGGGCAGGGCAAGUCCUGGGUCUGGGUCCUGCCACCUGCCAGGAAUAGAUGAAGGCUCCCACUUCUACCAGUCUGGAGUAGAUGGAGGCGCCCACUCCAGGCUCCCACUCCCAGAGUUUUCCUAGCCUUUCACUGAGGCAUCUCUCCAGGGGAGAUCAUUGGAGAGGUUCCAGUCCAGCCCUCUGUGUACCUCAGCUUCCCCUCUCUAGGCCCCAUUAUCCUCCUGUCCCUAAGGCCUCGAAUGCUGGUAUUUUCCACCUCUCUCUCCCUCCAGGCUUACUCCAUCUUUAUCUCCCAGCCCUCUCUUCUUCCACCCUUGCAGAAUCUCCCUCCUCCAUUUCUCAGCCUCAUUUCUCCCUAACUCUUUGUUCACCUCCUCAGUUCAGCUUUGACUUCUGAAAUCUGGAAGUCCAACUACUUUCCCAUCCCUGUUGCUGCAGUAGCAGCCCCUGCAGGCUGCCCUUUCAGGAUGAGGCCAGGGGAGGAUGCGGGGGUCUCCUGAAUGGG